rnacentral:rRNA from 1 species
CCGGCCGCCAGCGGCGCUCGCAAAGUUCGGAUCCGCAAGGACCGGGCCAGCGGGACGUCCGCGUGGCUGGGGUGCACUUUCUCCGCGGUCGAGUGCUACGACCGGUUUCGAGGCGGUCAGAAGCCCGGCGGAAAGGUAGCGCCGCCCUUCGGGGUGUCGUGUUAUAGGCCGCCGCGGUGGACUCGCCGCGAGACCGAGGACGCUUGCCGCGCCGAGCGGUCCCGGGCCGUCUUGGGAGGUUCGACCUCGGCUGCACUGCUCCGCAGAGCACCGUAACCGCCGCCCUAGCACGGGUCCGGAGACCGCCGGCGCCUCGGGUCAGUAGCG